CCUACGGGGGGCAGCAGUCGAGAAUCAUUCACAAUGGGGGAAACCCUGAUGGUGCGACGCCGCGUGGGGGAAUGAAGGUCUUCGGAUUGUAAACCCCUGUCAUGUGGGAGCAAAUUAAAAAGAUAGUACCCCCCGAGGAAGAGACUGCUAACUCUGUGCCAGCAGCCGCGGUAAUACAGAGGUCUCAAGCGUUGUUCGGAAUCACUGGGCGUAAAGCGUGCGUAGGCUGUUUCGUAAGUCGUGUGUGAAAGGCGCGGGCUCAACCCGCGGACGGCACAUGAUACUGCGAGACUAGAGUAAUGGAGGGGGAACCGGAAUUCUCGGUGUAGCAGUGAAAUGCGUAGAUAUCGAGAGGAACACUCGUGGCGAAGGCGGGUUACUGGACAUUAACUGACGCUGAGGCACGAAGGCCAGGGGAGCGAAAGGGAUUAGAUACCCUAGUAGUC
rnacentral:rRNA from 1 species